CGUCUAGGCGGGGAAUUAAGUUAGGUGUGAAAUCCCUGGGCUCAACCCAGGAACUGCAUCUAAAACUGGUUCUCUUGAAUUCGGGAGAGGAGAGCGGAAUUCCCGGUGUAGCGGUGAAAUGCGUAGAUAUCGGGAAGAACACCAGUGGCGAAGGCGGCUCUCUGGCCUAGAACUGACGCUGAAGCGCGAAAGCGUGGGGAGCGAACG
rnacentral:rRNA from 1 species